rnacentral:rRNA from 1 species
AUUGAACGCUGGCGGCAGGCCUAACACAUGCAAGUCGAGCGGAUGAAGGGAGCUUGCUCCUGGAUUCAGCGGCGGACGGGCGAGUAAUGCCUAGGAAUCUGCCUGGUAGUGGGGGAUAACGUCCGGAAACGGGCGCUAAUACCGCAUACGUCCUGAGGGAGAAAGUGGGGGAUCUUCGGACCUCACGCUAUCAGAUGAGCCUAGGUCGGAUUAGCUAGUUGGUGGGGUAAAGGCCUACCAAGGCGACGAUCCGUAACUGGUCUGAGAGGAUGAUCAGUCACACUGGAACUGAGACACGGUCCAGACUCCUACGGGAGGAAGCAGUGGGGAAUAUUGGACAAUGGGCGAAAGCCUGCUCCAGCCCUGCCGCGUGUGUGAAGAAGGUCUUCGGAUUGUAAAGCACUUUAAGUUGGGAGGAAGGGCAGUAAGUUAAUACCUUGCUGUUUUGACGUUACCAACAGAAUAAGCACCGGCUAACUUCGUG